rnacentral:tRNA from 1 species
GCCUUUGUGGUAUAGUGGUCAACACACUCGAAGCGUAUUCGAGAAGUCCAGGGUUCAAGUCCCGGCGACGGCA